ACUCAAAUGAAUUGACGGGGGCUCACACAAGCGGUGGAGCAUGUUGCUUAAUUCGAGGCAACGCGAAGAACCUUACCUGGGUUUGACAUGCAUGGAUUAACUCCCGGAAACGGGAGCCACACCCUCUGGGUGGAACAUGCACAGGUGCUGCAUGGCUGUCGUCAGCUCGUGCUGUGAAGCGUCGGGUUAAGUCCUCUAACGAGCGCAACCCCUAUCGUUAGUUACUCACGGGUAAAGCCGAGUACUCUAGCGAGACUGCCGGUGUCAAACCGGAGGAAGGUGGGGAUGACGUCAAGUCCUCAUGGCCCUUACACCCAGGGCUGCAAACGUGCUACAAUGGCGCGCACAAAGCGAUGCGAGGCCGCGAGGCGGAGCAAAUCGCAAAAAACGCGCCCCAGUUCGGAUUGCAGGCUGCAACUCGCCUGCAUGAAGUCGGAAUCGCUAGUAAUCGGAGAUCAGCUACGCUCCGGUGAAUGUGUUCCUGAGCCUUGCACACACCGCCCGU
rnacentral:rRNA from 1 species